rnacentral:snRNA from 1 species
GUGUUACCAGCAGUGCAUAUACUAAAAUUGGAAUCUCUAAAAUUAGAGAUAAGCAUGGCCCCUCCACAAGGAUGACAUGCAAAUUCGUGAAGCUUUCCUUAAUAAA